rnacentral:rRNA from 1 species
UGGGGAAUAUUGCGCAAUGGGGGAAACCCUGACGCAGCAACGCCGCGUGAAGGAUGAAGGCUUUCGGGUUGUAAACUUCUUUGAUGAGGGACGAAAGAAAUGACGGUACCUCAAAAACAAGCCACGGCUAACUACGUGCCAGCAGCCGCGGUAAUACGUAUGUGGCGAGCGUUGUCCGGAAUUACUGGGUGUAAAGGGCGUGUAGGCGGGGAUGCAAGUCAGAUGUGAAAUGCCGGAGCUUAACUCCGGAGCUGCAUCUGAAACCGUGUUUCUUGAGUGUCGGAGAGGAAAGCGGAAUUCCCAGUGUAGCGGUGAAAUGCGCAGAUAUUGGGAGGAACACCAGUGGCGAAGGCGGCUUUCUGGACGAUAACUGACGCUGAGGCGCGAAAGCGUGGGGAGCAAACA